rnacentral:rRNA from 1 species
UGCGUAGGCGGUCCGUUAAGUCGGGUGUGAAAUUUCCGAGCCUAACUCGGAACGGUCAUUCGAAACUGGCGGGCUCGAGGACUGGAGAGGAGACUGGAAUGGUCGGUGUAGCGGUGAAAUGCGUAGAGAUCGACCAGAACACCGGUGGCGAAGGCGGGUCUCUGGACAGUUCCUGACGCUGAGGCACGAAAGCCAGGGGAGCAAACG